GCCACAUCACUUUAAAACACCGGUUUCCAUACGAUCACCGACGUUAAGCAACGUCGAGCCAAAUCUGUAUCUAGACGGGUGACCGCUUGAGAAUACCAAGAGCAGUAA